rnacentral:rRNA from 1 species
GGAGGGUGCGAGCGUUGUUCGGAAUUAUUGGGCGUAAGGCGCGCGUAGGCGGCUUGGUAAGUCGGGUGUGAAAGCCCCGGGGCUCAACCCCGGAACUGCACUCGAAACUAUCUCGCUAGAGUCCCGGAGAGGAGAGCGGAAUUCCCGGUGUAGAGGUGAAAUUCGUAGAUAUCGGGAGGAACACCAGCGGCGAAGGCGGCUCUCUGGACGGUGACUGACGCUGAGGUGCGAAAGCGUGGGGAGCAAACAGGAUUAGAUACCCCGGGUAGUCCACGCCGUAAACGUUGGUGCUAGGUGUCGCGGGUAUUGACCCCCUGCGGUGCCGUCGUUAACGCAUUUAGCACCCCGCCUGGGGAGUACGGUCGCAAGGCUA